AAUUUCCUUAUAUCCUAGCAUUCAAUUUAUGCAUGAUAAUUAAGCGUGCACUCUCAACCAACAGACACAAAUCAAUGUAAUUCACAUAGAUAAGUAAAUUGAAUUCACAACUUAUGAAACGCAAUUAGAAGUAAUCAAAUCAUAUUGCAAGCAUAAACAUGUAUUUCGAAUCCCCCCCUAGCCAAGGGGGGGUUUAGUUCCUCAUACGUACAAAACAAAGAGAAUUGAAUUUAAACAUUGAAAUCAAAGGAAAAGAAACACCUAGAAAUUCCAGCGACGCGAACUUGAAUUGCAUGAACUUCCGAGCUUCCUUCUCCUCCUCCUUGGUGCGGCAAGGGUCUAGGGACAGGUUUAGAGCCUUAGGGGUAUGGAUGCAUGGUUAUGGAGGGAUGUAGUAGUGUUUAGGGGAAGGGAAUGGUGCGGCAAAGGUGUGGAGAGAGUUUGGACGAAUUUCUGGAGUGAUUUGUGAAUUGUGGUGAGUGGUGAUCUGAUUUAGGGGUUAAUAGGAGUAUAUAUAGGCACUUAAAACCCUAGGGUAAUCAGAUAUGGACUUGGAUAACCCAAAUCCACAAGGAAAUAGGUCUAAACAAUCAGAUUUUGCAAGGAAAAAGGCUCCUAGGUGCGGCUGGAUAGGGGUAAGGUGGAUAAGGUUUCUAGAAUGCCUUGCAAGGCAAGGAACUAGGCAUCUAGAAGCUAGGGUGCGGCACCAAUGUAGGGAUUUAAGGAUAGGGCUUCUAGAAAGCCCCAAAACUGAUAGGAAUUGCAUGAAACCCACGGCAAGGAUGUAAACUUUCUAGAAACUUCUCAUUGUGUCCUACAACACUUUGGAGUCCUUCUAGCAUUAGGAAAACAUGUCUCAAUCCUCCCUUGACUUGGAAU
rnacentral:lncRNA from 1 species